rnacentral:rRNA from 1 species
AGGACGAACGCUGGCGGCGUGCUUAACACAUGCAAGUCGAACGGUGAAGGAGAGCUUGCUCUCCGGAUCAGUGGCGAACGGGUGAGUAACACGUGAGUAACCUGCCCUUGACUCUGGGAUAAGCGUUGGAAACGACGUCUAAUACCGGAUACGAGCUUCAGCCGCAGUGGCUAGGAGCUGGAAAGAUUUCGGCAAGGAUGGACUCGCGGCCUAUCAGCUAGUUGGUGAGGUAAUGGCUCACCAAGGCGACGACGGGUAGCCGGCCUGAGAGGGUGACCGGCCACACUGGGACUGAGACACGGCCCGAGACUCCGUACGGGAGGCAGCAGGUGGGAAUGUGCACAAGUGGGACGCAAGCCUGAUGCAGCAACGCCGCGGUAGGGGACGAAGGUCCGUUACGGGUACGUUAAACCGUUCGUUUAAGGUAGGG